GAGCACGUAGGUGGGUUUGUAAGUCAGAUGUGAAAGCCUUCUGUUCAACGGAAGAAUUGCAUCUGAAACUGCGAGUCUUGAGUGUAGGAGGGGAGAAUGGAACUUCUGGUGGAGCGGUGAAAUGCGUAGAUAUCAGAAGGAACGCCGGCGGCGAAAGCGAUUCUCUGGCCUAUUACUGACACUCAGUGUGCGAAAGCUAGGGGAGCAAACGGGAUUAGAUACCCCGGUAGUCCUAGCCGUAAACGAUGGGCACUAAGUAGAGGGGUUUU
rnacentral:rRNA from 4 species